GCUCUGGCCGCCCCAGAGGUUCGCGGCUUCUGGACCUGCUGUGCCCCUCUCCAGCCUGGAUCAGGACGGAGAACACCCCCGAAACCCACCUCACCAGCACAGCCGGCGGACCCUUCCGGAGGUGGCCGCAGAGACUAGCCAACUUGCGCGCCCGCCGACCCGGACCACAGCUCCCAGCACACCUCAAGGGCCCACGCCCGCCAGGACUACAAUUCCCGGCGUCCUCCGGAAGCUCAAGUGUACCCAGGCGCGGUGCCUGCUGGGAAUUGUAGUUGACGUUGGUCAGCACGGAGGCCACAGGAUCCCAGCCCGGCCUUUGUGGGACUGAGGUGGCGCUGAGUGGGAGAGCAGCAGGCGAUGCGCGAAAGGCGGGACUUGGAGAUAAAUACUGAGCACCCACAACAGGCAGCCAGCACCACUGCAGAUUGGAUACUGCAAUGAUGAUAAGCAUGGCCUGCCUUUAUGGAGGUGAUGUUAUUGUGUGGGGAGGCAGAUGGUAAACAAAGAAGUCAUUUUUCUGAGAAGUUGGUAUUUAAGCUGAGGCCUGAAUAGAGCGAAGAACUCAGGGAGGGUUCUGGAUGUUCCUGUGGAUAACCUCAAGGAGCACGGGACCUGGGACAUGACUGCCCCCAGCAUUCCUUCUGGCGGCAGACAGAGUUUGUCAGUUCGCCAACAUCCUGCUUUCAUGAGAACAGUUUGCUGUUUGCUCACAGAGCCUCCAGUGGUAUACUGAGUUGGUCACGACCCUCAUUCCUUCGGCCUCCAACAUCUCCCCUUUUGUUUUUGCAUUAAUUGAAUAAAGGUAAUUUCAGGCUGUGCAGCUUUCAAUUGCCGGUUGGUGGUUCACCCGAUCCUAUAGACUAUGAGCAAAAAAACAGAGACAUAACAACAUUAUUCUUGUAAUUAUUAUAAAAGAGACAUUGAAGUUAUGUUUAA
rnacentral:lncRNA from 1 species